GGCAAAAUAGUUAAAUGAUAAUAUAAACUUGUCAAGUUUAAGUUGCUGCCAGCAGUUUUUGCCU
rnacentral:tRNA from 1 species